UGAGCCAACACCAGCUAGGGCUACCGUUCUCAUUUAUUUUCCUUGUCUAAGAGCUUGGCUAACACGCUCAAGGUACGAUUGAAAACCGGUGAUGCUAGAGCGCUGUAUCUUGCUUCCUGUGUAUGGAGGGAGCCUGGGUGCCUCUCUGAGGGCGCGGCUGUGGGUUUGGGGUGACAGCCUUCCUCUAGUUCAGGGUGGCCGUCAGUCCUGGCGGACACAGAGUCCUCUUCGUUUAUUUUAGAAGCCUGGUUACGCACAUCAUUCCUGCCACAAACCUCUACUGAGCACUUGCUGGUCGCCAGGCCUGCCCUGGGCUGCUGGCGUAGGGAGGAAAAAUCAACACAGACCCGGCCCAUCAGCAGCUCAGGCCCCGUGGAGGAGAGAGGCGAGUAGAUAGGCCCUUAUCCUGGGCCAUGUGGCACGCCUUCGAGCACUACCUGCUUGGCAUUUUGCCAGACACCGGGGACAGGUGCUGAGAUUUUACUCAACCUGCAAGCUGACAGGUGAGCCUGCCCUCUCCCCAAGGACGUGCAGAAGACACAAGACUCCCGGCUGAGAAACAAAGAGCAGUCUACUGUUCACAGCAGCAGCCGUGCGCGGAGGAUUGUUCCAGUGUCAUUUGCUGGGACUUGUGCCUGGGCUGUCAGCACUCUUCUACGCUGCCUGGGGCCUGCUCUGGGGAAUGCAUCACAAACACACAAUCAGUUCACAGUAAAUGGGCCAAAGAACUCAGGGCAUCCCCAUCCCUGGGGAGGUGACACUCCGCG